rnacentral:rRNA from 1 species
AACAUGUCUGUUUGAAGAUAUAGAAAGUUUGGCCUGCCCACUGAUAGUUUUGAAUGGCCGCGGUAUCCUUUGACCGUGCAAAGGUAGCAUAAUCGUUAGUUUUUUAAUUGGAAUCUUGUAUGAAUGGUCGGACAAAAAAAAAGUUGUCUCUAUAUUUGUUAAUUGAAAUUAACUUUUAAGUGAAAAGGCUUAAAUGAAUUAAAAAGACGAUAAGACCCUAUAAAACUUAAUAUAAAACUAUUAUUUGGUUGAGUUUGUUAUAUAAGAAUUGAGUGAGUGGUUUGUAUUAUAUUGGGGCGAUAGAAAUAAAGUGUUUACCAACUGUUUAAGGUUAGAAGACAGUAAAUAGAUGAUUAAGAUAUUGUAAAUGAUCCUUUGUAAAGAUUAGAAGUUUAAGUUACUUUAGGGAUAACAGCGUUAUUUUUUUUGAGGAGUUCUUAUCGAAAAAAGAGUUUGCGACCUCGAUGUUGAAUUAAAAUAUCUAUAUGAUUGCAGAAGUUAUAUUAGAGGGUCUGUUCGACCUUUAAAGUUUUACGUGAUCU